rnacentral:lncRNA from 1 species
AUGCAUUGAACUUGGGUUCAUUUUGGAUGCUUCUGCUCUCUGUUCACAGUUCAAGAGACCGUCAUGCCACACCCUCCUAAACUAGGCAUUGUUUUCUUGUAGCACAAAAAAGAACCAGGCAAUGUUUUAGAUGUGCCGACCCUUGGAAUAAUUGGGUUGGGCACUGGCCUAAUUCUUGAGGCCCCGUUUGUACAUUGUUGACCUCCUA